GAUGAACGCUGACCGAAUGCUUAACACAUGCAAGUCCACUUGAACUUCGGUUUGGGUGCGGCCGGGUGAGUAACGCGUAAAGAACUUGCCUCACAGAUAGGGACAACAUUUGGAAACGAAUGCUAAUACCUGAUAUUAUGAUUUUAGGGCAUCCUAGGAUUAUGAAAGCUAUAUGCGCUGUGAGAGAGCUUUGCGUCCCAUUAGCUAGUUGGAGAGGUAACGGCUCACCAAGGCGAUGAUGGGUAGCCGGCCUGAGAGGGUGAUCGGCCACAAGGGGACUGAGACACGGCCCUUACUCCUACGGGAGGCAGCAGUGGGGAAUAUUGGACAGUGGACCAAGAGUCUGAUCCAGCAAUUCUGUGUGCACGAUGAAGUUUUUCGGAAUGUAAAGUGCUUUCAGUUGGGAAGAAAAAAUGACGGUACCAACAGAAGAAGUGACGGCUAAAUACGUG
rnacentral:rRNA from 1 species